rnacentral:misc_RNA from 1 species
AAGUCGUAACAAGGUUUCCGUAGGUGAACCUGCGGAGGGAUCAUUAACGAAUGGCCUUAGGCCUUCAACCUUGUAAACCUGUGGAAGCAAAACGUGCUUUGGCGCUUUCGGGCGCCAACUUUAUGCUUAGAUCAGUCUUGAUGUCUGAAUCAAAAACAAGAAACAAAACUUUCAACAACGGAUCUCUUGGUUCUG